UAUGCCUACCCGAGCGAUAUGGGAGCGAUAUAUUUUUGCAAAUAUUUUGACGCGAUGGCAGCGCCAUGUGGUAGAAUGAAGAAAUAUUAAUGAAAGCAGUCGUGUUGACGGAUGUCAUUGUCAUUUCAUCCAAGAAUGCAAGGAAAAAAAAUUUUAAUUUCAAUUUCAAUGUAUAAUUUUUAUUUUCGCCUAAUUUUUCAGGGAUCAAAAGACGCAAACAAAACAUCUUUAUACGUAUAUUCAAAGAAUAAUUUGUAUUAAGCAAACCUUAGUCAAUACAGGUGAUUCUGGAUAUGCUCUAAGUCAGUUGAUGUUGACAUCCAUCCAAAAUGCAUUACCUGCUACUCUAGAAGAAAUAUUCAUCACAGAAGAACUGAAUCCCCUAUAGAGAGAUGCAAUGGGAUUUUAAAAUGGAGGCAUAGAAUUUUACACUCCAACCAUGGCUGAAUAAAAUAAAUAAUAUUGCAUGCACUGUGCUGCACAAUUUGUGCAUUGGUAUGCAUAAUGUACCCCCUAUUGGUUUAGGUGAUGAAGAAAACAAUCAUAUAGAUAUUGAUUAUGGAAAUGUCAAUGGAAUAAAUAUAGAAGGUAGAAUUCGUGAUAGAGAUCUGCUCACAGGAAGAAGACUCCAACAAAUGCUAAUUCAAAUUAAUUUUAGAAAUUAAUUCAAUAAGUUUGGAAAAAUGUAUGUUCUGUGUUAUUUGUACUUUAUGUAAAUAUUGUUCUGAAGCUAUUUUCUUGUGGCAUUUUUAUGAUUAACUAUUUAGAUGGGAAAUAAGCCACAAUUAAAUUGAAAAAAAUAAUUUUAUUAACGUUUCGACGUCCAAAUCGGGUGUCGUUGUCAAAAUACAAAAGACUACUAAAUUAAACAAAAAUGUUGCUAAGUAAAAAAUUCUUCUAAUAAUUUAUUUAAUCUGACUCAUUUAUAUUGGCAAUUCAGACAUAUAUUAUACAUUUUAAAGUAGAAGACUUUAAAAUGAUAUUGCCAAUAUUUAUGAGUUGCGUUCCUGGGACGACUUAACUGAAAGAUAGUUCAUUCGAUUACAUGAAAUCAACCUCAACUCAAGAAUAUCCAUCACAAAAAAAAUCAUAGCAUGUGAUCUGUCUUUAAAAAGACAACCAAAUGCAAAAAAAGUGAUUUACUAUGGAUUCUCUAACGCGAGAAUUUUACUGUCAUCGUUGCAUUUGGUUGUCUUUUUAAAGACAGAUCACAUGCUAUGAUUUUUUUUUUGUGACGGAUAUUCUUGAGUUGAGGUUGAUUUCAUGUAAUCGAAUGAACUAUCUUUCAGUAAAUUCGUCCCAGGAACGCAACUCAUAAAUAUUGGCAAUAUCAUUUUAAAGUCUUCUACUUUAAAAUGUAUAAUAUAUGUCUGAAUUGCCAAUAUAAAUGAGUCAAAUUAAAUAAAUUAUUAGAAGAAUUUUUUACUUAGCAACAACAUUUUUGUUUAAUUUAGUAGUAUUUUGUAUUUUGACAACGACAUCUGAGUUGGGUGUCGAAACGUUAAUAAAAUUAUUUAUUUAAUUGUGGCUUAUUUCCUAUCUAAAUAGUUAAUUAUGUAAAUAUGUAGUGUGUUAGCUGUUGUUUUAUGAACAACAUAAAACAUUAUGUGAAAUAUUGACUGUAUGUUAUCCAUGACACAGAACAAAAGUUAAAAUGCAUGUUUUUACAUU
rnacentral:lncRNA from 1 species